GCAGUGAUGGCUCAGUGGUAGAAUUCUCACCUUCCAUGCAGGAGACCUGGGUUUGAUUCCCAGCCAAUGCA
rnacentral:tRNA from 1 species